AGAUCCAUUUCCCAGCUUCUUCUCCCAGCUUGUACUCUGAGUCCUUGUCCCACAGACUUCAAGGUAGGGUGUCCUUGCUUUCUCUCUGACAGUUAGAUUAGACCAACUUUCGUCAUGAGAGGAGUGGGGUGUUUUCUCUGUGGUGUUUCUCCCGAUCUCCUUCCUUCCUGUGUCAUCAGUGUGGUUCUGGAAAUGGCUGAGAAUUACCUUCAACACGACAUUGUCUCUUGACACCCACAAGUGUUAUUUGAUUCCUCCACGAUCCCAGGAACAGGGAAGGGAAAUGGUUUCUGCUGCCUUCCAGCGUCUUCUCUAUUUUUAGAGUUCUUAACCUUGUGCCCACGGUCCUACCCUGAAGUUCUCUUGUUCUUCUCGUGACUGGCCUCCUGCAGCCCUCAGGGGCUUGCUAUCACAGCAUACUUCCCAGUUCCGAGGAUCUCUUGCUUGUAUGGGCCAAAGUUUCAGAUACCAUGAACCUGAACCUGAAAAACAGCUUUUUGCUAUCAAAACAGCUCCUUUGGAGCUAGAGGGAAACUGAUGCUAAGAGUGUGUCCUGCUCUUGUAAAGGUCUGGAGUUUGGUUCCCACACAAGACAGCCCACAAUCUUCUGUAACUCUAGCUCUGGGAGAAUCUGGAGACCUUUCUCUAAGGAGAGCCCCAGAAAACACAUUUUCCCUCCAUUGUUCCAAAAGAGAAGAAGGGGGAAAGAGCUGGAAGGCCUGUGUGCUGAAGGGCAGAGGGAUCCACCAUAGGUAAAACUGGUAAAUGUUUAUGGCUAAAAACAGAGGAGAAAACAAGCGAUUGGCCCUCAUGCCUGAGACCUCAC
rnacentral:lncRNA from 1 species